rnacentral:rRNA from 1 species
AACGAACGCUGGCGGCAUGCCUAACACAUGCAAGUCGAACGAUCCCUUCGGGGAUAGUGGCGCACGGGUGCGUAACGCGUGGGAACCUGCCCUUAGGUUCGGAAUAACUCAGAGAAAUUUGAGCUAAUACCGGAUAAUGUCUUCGGACCAAAGAUUUAUCGCCUUUGGAUGGGCCCGCGUUGGAUUAGCUAGUUGGUGGGGUAAAGGCCUACCAAGGCGACGAUCCAUAGCUGGUCUGAGAGGAUGAUCAGCCACACUGGGACUGAGACACGGCCCAGACUCCUACGGGAGGCAGCAGUGGGGAAUAUUGGACAAUGGGCGAAAGCCUGAUCCAGCAGUGCCGCGUGAGUGAUGAAGGCCUUAGGGUUGUAAAGCUCUUUUACCCGAGAUGAUAAUGACAGUACCGGGAGAAUAAGCCCCGGCUAACUCCGUG